rnacentral:lncRNA from 1 species
GAGGAAGGAGGAGGGCAGGAAUUCCAUGGACAGGAGGAGGAGGAGGGCAGGAAUUCCAUGGACAGGAGGAGGGCAGGAAUUCCAUGGACAGGAGGAGGAAGGAGAGCAGGAAUUCCAUGGACAGGAGGAGGAAGGAGGGCAGGAAUUCCAUGGACAGGAGGAGGAGGAGGGCAGGAAUUCCAUGGACAGGAGAAGGAAGGAGAGCAGGAAUUCCAUGGACAGGAGAAGGCAGGAGAGCAGGAAUUCCAUGGACAGGAGGAGGAAGGAGGUCAGGAAUUCCAUGGACAGGAGGAGGAAGGAGGGCAGGAAUUCCAUGGACAGGAGAAGGAAGGAGAGCAGGAAUUCCAUGGACAGGAGAAGGAGGGAGGACAGGAAUUCCAUGGACAGGAGAAGGAGGAGGGCAGGAAUUCCAUGGACAGAAGAAGGAAGGAGAGCAGGAAUUCCAUGGACAGGAGGAGGAGGAGGGCAGGAAUUACAUGGACAGGAGAAGGAGGAGAGCAGGAAUUCCAUGAACAGGAGAAGGAGGAGAGCAGGAAUUCCAUGGACAGAAGAAGGAGGAGGGCAGGAAUUCCAUGGACAGAAGAAGGAAGGAGAGCAGGAAUUCCAUGGACAGGAGGAGGAGGAGAGCAGGAAUUCCAUGGACAGAAGAAGGAGGAGAGCAGGAAUUCCAUGGACAGGAGAAGGAAGGAGAGCAGGAAUUCCAUGGACAGAAGAAGGAGGAGAGCAGGAAUUCCAUGGACAGGAGAAGGAGGAGGGCAGGAAUUCCAUGAACAGGAGAAGGAGGAAGGCAGGAAUUCCAUGGACUCUGGAGGAGGAGGAAGGAGGGCAGGAAUUCCAUGGACAGGAGGAGGAAGGAGGUCAGGAAUUCCAUGGACAGGAGGAAGGAGGGCAGGAAUUCCAUGGACAGGAGGAGGAAGGAGGGCAGGAAUUCCAUGGACAGGAGGAGGAAGGAGGUCAGGAAUUCCAUGGACAGGAGGAAGGAGAGCAGGAAUUCCAUGGACAGGAGAAGGAGGAGGGCAGGAAUUCCAUGGACAGGAGGAGGAAGGAGGGCAGGAAUUCCAUGGACAGGAGGAGGAGGAGGGCAGGAAUUCCGUGGACAGGAGGAAGGCAGGAAUUCCAUGGACAGGAGGAGGAGGAGGGCAGGAAUUCCAUGGACAGGAGAAGGCAGGAGAGCAGGAAUUCCAUGGACUCUGGAGAAGGAAGGAGGGCAGGAAUUCCAUGGACAGGAGGAAGGCAGGAAUUCCAUGGACAGGAGAAGGCAGGAGAGCAGGAAUUCCAUGGACUCUGGAGAAGGAAGGAAGAGGGGCAGGAAUUGCACGAUGGGGAAUUCCAGCUGGAUUAUUCCCCCAGUGUGGGGUUCACAGGUGUUCCCCCAGCUGCACUGCUCGGCCCCCAGGAUACUAAGGAAUGA